AGAGUUUGAUCCUGGCUCAGGAUGAACGCUAGCGGGAGGCUUAACACAUGCAAGUCGAGGGGCAGCACGGGAGUAGCAAUACAACUGGUGGCGACCGGCGCACGGGUGAGUAACGCGUAUGCAACCUACCUAUCAGAGGGGAAUAACCCGGCGAAAGUCGGACUAAUACCGCAUAAAACAGGGGCACCGCAUGGUGAUAUUUGUUAAAGAAAUUCGCUGAUAGAUGGGCAUGCGUUCCAUUAGGUAGUUGGUGAGGUAACGGCUCACCAAGCCGACGAUGGAUAGGGGAACUGAGAGGUUGGUCCCCCACACUGGUACUGAGACACGGACCAGACUCCUACGGGAGGCAGCAGUGAGGAAUAUUGGUCAAUGGGCGGGAGCCUGAACCAGCCAAGUCGCGUGAAGGAAGAAGGAUCUAUGGUUCGUAAACUUCUUUUGCAGGGGAAUAAAGUGCAGGACGUGUCCUGUUUUGUAUGUACCCUGAGAACAAGGAUCGGCUAACUCCGUGCCAGCAGCCGCGGUAAUA
rnacentral:rRNA from 1 species